rnacentral:rRNA from 1 species
UACGGGGGGGGCAAGCGUUGUUCGGAAUUACUGGGCGUAAAGGGCUCGUAGGUGGCCAACUAAGUCGGACGUGAAAUCCCUCAGCUUAACUGGGGAACUGCGUCCGAUACUGGAUGGCUUGAGUUUGGGAGAGGGAUGCGGAAUUCCUGGUGUAGCGGUGGAAUGCGCAGAUAUCAGGAGGAACACCAAUAGCGAAGGCAGCUCGCUGGGACGUUACUGACACUGAGGCGCGAAAGCGUGGGGAGCGAACAGG